rnacentral:rRNA from 1 species
AUGUCCCAGGCUGCUUUUGAGAACUUCUCCGCCAUCAUCGGCUCUGCGCCUGUGCGCGCCCACUCCUUGCGACUUGACCUCUUCGACGCUAGGCGCUUUGACCUGUCGGAGCUUGAGGUGCCUUUCACCGAGCAGGAGAUCUGGGUGGCGAUCAAGCAACUGCCAUCUGGCAAGGCACCCGGACCCGAUGGCUUCACCUUCGAGUUUCUCCGCGCCUGCUGGCCCAUCAUCAAAAUAGACAUCUGUGCGGCCUUCGACAAGCUAUACCACAUGAACGCCCAUGUCUUCCAUAAGCUUAAUGAAGCCCUUCUCACCCUCCUUCCCAAGAAACCCGAUGCGGCUGUGCUUUCUGAUUACCGGCCCAUCAUCUUGAUCCACAUCUUCGCCAAGCUUUUCGCCAAGGCCCUCGCCCUACGGCUCGCUCCACGGAUGCGAGAAAUCGUCUCUACGAAUCAGAGUGCGUUCAGCACUGCAGAUGUGUGCACGAUAACUUUCUCCUUGUGCAGCAGAAAACAAGGUUUCUCCACAACAUCAAGGCCCCGCGCGUCCUCCUCAAGCUCGACAUCGUGA